GAUGAAGAACGCAGCGAAAUGCGAUACGUAAUGUGAAUUGCAGAAUUCAGUGAAUCAUCGAAUCUUUGAACGCAUAUUGCGCUCUUUGGUAUUCCGAAGAGCAUGCUUGUUUGAGUAUCAGUAAACACCUCAAAGCUUUUGGAUUUUUUAAUCGAAAAGCUUUGGACUUGAGCAAUCCCAACACCAAUCUUUUUGAGAUCGGUGGCGGGUUGCUUGAAAUGCAGGUGCAGCUGGACAUUCUCCUGAGCUAAAAGCAUAUUCAUUUAGUCCCGUCAAACGGAUUAUUACUUUUGCUGCAGCUAACAUAAAGGGAGUUUGACCGUAUUGGCUGACUGAUGCAGGAUUUCACAAGGGUCGGCAACGAUUCUUGUUAAACUCGAUCUCCAAUCAAGUAAGACUACCCGCUGCACUUAAGCAUAUCAAUAAGCGGAGGA
rnacentral:misc_RNA from 1 species